UACGGAGGGAGCUAGCGUUGUUCGGAAUUACUGGGCGUAAAGCGCACGUAGGCGGCUUUGUAAGUUAGAGGUGAAAGCCCGGGGCUCAACUCCGGAACUGCCUUUAAGACUGCAUCGCUUGAAUCCGGGAGAGGUGAGUGGAAUUCCGAGUGUAGAGGUGAAAUUCGUAGAUAUUCGGAAGAACACCAGUGGCGAAGGCGGCUCACUGGACCGGUAUUGACGCUGAGGCGCGAAAGCCAGGGGAGCAAACGGG
rnacentral:rRNA from 1 species